rnacentral:rRNA from 1 species
AUGGCUCAGGAUGAACGCUAGCGGCAGGCUUAACACAUGCAAGUCGAGGGGCAUCGGGAGUAGCAAUACUUGCCGGCGACCGGCGCAAGGGUGCGUAACGCGUGAGCAACAUGCCCGUAUCAGGGGGAUAAUCCAUGGAAACGUGGUCUAAUACCCCAUAGUAAUUAUGUAAGGCAUCUUAUAUAAUUUAAAGCUUUGGUGGAUACGGAUUGGCUCGCGUGACAUUAGCUAGAUGGUAAGGUAACGGCUUACCAUGGCUACGAUGUCUAGGGGUUCUGAGAGGAAGGUCCCCCACACUGGAACUGAGACACGGUCCAGACUCCUACGGGAGGCAGCAGUGAGGAAUAUUGGACAAUGGAUGGAAGUCUGAUCCAGCCAUGCCGCGUGCAAGGAAGACGGCCCUAUGGGUUGUAAACUGCUUUUGUAUGGGAGCAAUAAGGGCUACGCGUAGUCCGAUGAGAGUACCAUACGAAUAAGCACCGGCUAACUCCGUGCCAGCCGCAGC